rnacentral:lncRNA from 1 species
UUUAAAACCUUAAUGCUGACUAAAUGGAAGAGUUCAGUUUAGGGUUUAAAACCCUAAUGCUGACUGAAUGGAAAAAGUUCAGUUUAGGGUUUAAAACCCUAAUGCUGACUAAAGGAAAAGAGUUCAGUUUAGGGUUUAAAACCAAAAUGCUGACUAAAGGAAAAAGUUCAGUUUAGGGUUUAAAACCCUAAUGCUGACUGAAUGGAAAAAGUUCAGUUUAGGGUUUAAAUCCCUAAUGCUGACUAAAAGGAAAAAGUUCAGUUUAGGGUUUAAAACCCUAAUACUGACUGAAGGAAAGAGUUCAGUUUAGGGUUUAACACCCUAAUGCUGACUAAAGGAAAGAGUUCAGUUUAGGAUUUAAAACUCUAACGUUGACUAAAGGGAAGAGUUCAGUUUAGGGUUUAAAACCCUAAUGCUGACUUAAAUGAAAAUAGUUCAGUUUAGGGUUUAAAACCCUAAUGCUGACUUAAAUGAAAAGAGUUCAGUUUAGGGUUUAAAACCCUAAUGCUGACUGAAUGGAAAAAGUUCAGUUUAGGGU